AGACAGAUUCCCAGGAGGAGUGUAACACCUGCUGAUUUGACGCUUUUCCGUCUAGCCAUUCCAUGGCAUGGAACAAAAAUGACAAAUAUGGCAGAGGGACUCUUGUGGACUUGAAGAGGUUGAAGAGACCUGCAGGGAAUCCAGUGGUUUUCUCAGGGGAGGAGAUGGAGAUGAAGAGUAAGCUGAGCUUCCUCUCAUCAAGGAUGCAUCAAAACUCCAUCUACAUGUGGAGAAAGUCUCACUGAGAAGAAGCUGGCAGAAAGACUUCGGCAACCAAGCCUGUAAAGAAAGAUCCACACAGAGUCAGUGGAAAGGGGGGAGAAGUGAUCAGGUUGGAACCUGCACCCCUAGGAGGAUUCACAGAAGAGGAAUUGUGUGGGCUCAGAGAUGAUCCCUAGGGAGAGAUGGUUCACACCAUGUGUUGAGCCCCCCAGAUCUAGGGACCGACAGUGGGAAGUGAGCCCCCUCAGCUGGUUCAAAAACCAGUGGGACAAACAGGAGUGCUGUAAGAAAAUGAGGCUCAACUUAUGAAGACUAUGCACACACUUACUCCUGGGAAUUCAUAGAGGAAGAAUAUCAAAACUGCCUGGGGC
rnacentral:lncRNA from 1 species